rnacentral:rRNA from 1 species
AGUCGUUCUGCCCAUUGGAUUUUAAAGGCUGCAGUAUAUUAACUGUACAAAGGUAGCAUAAUAAAUAGUUUUUUAAUUGAAAACUUGAAUGAAUGAAUUGAUAAAAUAUAAAUUGUCUCUAAUAUUGAAAUUAAAUUAAAAGUAAAAAUGCUUUUAUAUAAUUAUUAGACGAUAAGACCCUAAGAAUUUAAAUUUAUUAAAUAAUUUUUAAUUUUGAUGUAAUAUAGUGAUUUUUAUUGGGAGGAUAAUUAAAUAUAACUUUAAUUUUAAAAAAUAAUUUAAUUAAAUUUAAUGAUUAUUAUUAUAAUUAUAAGAAAUAAUUACCUUAGGGAUAACAGCGUAAUAGUUUUGGAUAGUUCAUAUUGAUAAAAUUGAUUGCGACCUCGAUGUUGAAUUAAAAUAAAAUUUAAAUGGAGAAAUUUAAUUUUUUAGUCUGUUCGACUAUUAAAAUUUUAC